rnacentral:pre_miRNA from 18 species
UCCAAUGGUCUGGGUCGGACCUCCGCUGUUUUUCUCCGCGGUGAUACUCCAAAGAAAGUCGUUAUCACCGGGUGAAAACUGGUAGAGGUCCGAUUCAGUCGG